rnacentral:rRNA from 1 species
CGGGGCGCAGCAGCAGUAGGGAAUAUUGGGCAAUGGGGGAAACCCUGACCCAGCAACGCCGCGUGAGGGAAGAAGGUUUUCGGAUUGUAAACCUCUGCCCUUGGGGAAGAAAAAAAUGACGGUACCCAAGGAGGAAGCUCCGGCUAACUACGUGCCAGCAGCCGCGGUAAUACGUAGGGAGCAAGCGUUGUCCGGAAUUACUGGGCGUAAAGGGUGUGUAGGCGGCAUGUUAAGUCAGAUGUGAAAUGUAGGGGCUCAACCCCUGAACUGCAUUUGAAACUGGCAAGCUUGAGUGCGAGAGAGGUAAGUGGAAUUCCUAGUGUAGCGGUGGAAUGCGUAGAUAUUAGGAGGAACACCAGUGGCGAAGGCGACUUACUGGCUCGUAACUGACGCUGAGACACGAAAGCGUGGGGAGCAAACAGGAUUAGAUACCCUGGUAGUC